rnacentral:rRNA from 1 species
AUUGAACGCUGGCGGCAGGCCUAACACAUGCAAGUCGCACGAGUGGCGGACGGGUGAGUAAUGUCUGGGAAACUGCCUGAUGGAUGAGGAUAACUACUGGAAACGGUAGCUACUACCGCAUCCCCUCGGCUGUGCCCAGAUGGGAUUAGCUAGUAGGUGGGGUAAAGGCUCACAUAGGCGACGAUCCCUAGCUGGUCUGAGAGGAUGACCAGCCACACUGGAACUGAGACACGGGCCAGACUCCUACGGGAGGCAGCAGUGGGGAAUAGGGCACAAUGGGCGCAAGCCUGAUGCAGCCAUGCCGCGUGUAUGAAGAAGGCCUUCGGGUUGUAAAGUACUUUCAGCGGGGAGGAGUUACCCGCAGAAGAAGCACCGGCUAACUCCGUGCCAGCAGCCGCGGUAAUAC